CCAUCGGUUACUUUAGUGCGAGAAAACGAUCAGGCAUUCUGGUUCACUUUCUCCUUUCUUGAUAGAUUCAUCCACUUGCAAGGAGUACCCCUUGAAAAAUAAUCCGUCUGCAGGUACUUGAUCGCCGAUCUUCAAGCAAACUAUGUAUCGAACAACAGUGUCCAAUAUCGAUAUAUUGUUGCCUCCAACAAAUAUGGAUAUCUGACAUUGUUGUUGGAGAUGUGGUUUGCUUGAAGAUUGGCAAUCAAGUAGUUGCAGACGGAUUACUUUUAGACGGGCAUUCGUUGCAAGAGGAUGAAUCUAGCAUGAUAAGAUGAAAGCCAUCAUGUUGAAAUCAGUCGAUCUCAAAACCAGUCUUGUUUUCAGUUGAGAAACGUCGCCUCUUCAAAAUCGAUCAAAGUAGCCAACUUUAUCUGCAGAAAAGGUUGGUUUAGAGGUAGCAUUCCUAGUCGUUGCUGUGUCCAUACUUAUGGGGAACACGACGGAUGAAGAUGUAUGGGAAUAAAGAGUUCAAAUUCAAUGGAAUGUUGAUGAUUUGAUUUUGAUGUACUUGGAAUUAUUACUGCUGCAGUAACUAUUGUAGUUCUUACAAUCCCACAAGGGUUGACUUCGUGGACUUAGAGCUAGUUCGAAAGAGACCAAAAGAGCUCGUCCAGAACUUGUUUGUGGGUUGGAACUUGGACGAAGCCAGUUAUCAAGUGUGGUUGCAUCUUGGCUUCUGGGUUGGUAUAAGUACAAGAAAGACCAAGUUAUUGUUACAGAGAUUGAAGAUCAUAUGUUCCUAUAUGGAUCAAUUAACAAUGUUACUGCUUUUGAUCUGUAAUUUCGAAGUAUCAAUAGAAUGGAUCCGUUUCUUGAUUUU